rnacentral:rRNA from 1 species
GAGGAUUACACUGUCUCCCCCCCUAAAUCAAUGAAACUGAUCCCCCCGUGAAGAAGCGGGGAUAGAUAUAUAAGACGAGAAGACCCUAUGGAGCUUUAAACUAAACACCACUUACCUUCAACCACUUCCUUAUAAACAGGUAAAGAUCGUGUGUGUUUUCAGUUGGGGUGACUGCGGAGCAAAAUAAAACCUCCACGAUGAAACAAUCCUCUAAUCUAAGAACAACAUUUCAAAGAAUCAACAAAUUGACAUAAAUUGACCCAAAUAUUAAUUUGAUCAACGAACCAAGUUACCCUAGGGAUAACAGCGCAAUCCAUUUCAAGAGCUCCUAUCGACAAAUG